rnacentral:rRNA from 1 species
GAUGAACGCUAGCGGGAGGCUUAACACAUGCAAGUCGAGGGGCAGCAUAGGGUAGCAAUACUCUGAUGGCGACCGGCAAACGGGUGAGUAACGCGUAUGCAACCUACCCUGUACAGGGGGAUAACCCGGAGAAAUUCGGACUAAUAUCCCGUAAUAAUAUCCGGAGGCAUCUUUGGAUAUUUAAAGUUCCGACGGUACGGGAUGGGCAUGCGUAACAUUAGCUGGUUGGUAAGGUAACGGCUUACCAAGGCUAUGAUGUUUAGGGGUCCCGAGAGGGUGGUCCCCCACACUGGUACUGAGACACGGACCAGACUCCUACGGGAGGCAGCAGUGAGGAAUAUUGGUCAAUGGGCGCAAGCCUGAACCAGCCAUCCCGCGUGCAGGAAGACGGCCCUAUGGGUUGUAAACUGCUUUUCCAGGGAGAGAAACUUACGCACGUGUUGCGUGACUGACGGUACCCUGGGAAUAAGCAUCGGCUAACUCCGUG